UUUUAGAUUUUUAGAUAUGAUGUUUUAGAUUUUUGGUUUUCUAACAACUUGAAUCUUGACUGUAUGACUGUUUAUGUUUGAUUUUUAAUGAAAAUUUUUGAAUCUUGAUUGUGCUUUAAGAAUGUUUUUGCAGGAACUUUCAAGACUUCAAGACUCCAUGUCUAAGUCAUAGAGUUUGUAUUAGGAUUAUACAGGAGAUUGUCGUUUGGUGAUUGCGAUAAUCUUCUUUCUUUUUCCUGUUUCUGAGGUUGUAUGAGCAUUGUAAUAUGUUUUGUCACGAAAUCGCCAAAGGGGGAGAUUAUUAAGGAUUUUUUAAGUUGGCGAAUUUCGUAAAGUCGAAUGGAGUCUUGAAGAGUUAAAAGCGAAGUUUUUAGAAAGAAAAUUCAAUUUGAAAAU
rnacentral:lncRNA from 1 species